AAAACUUAAGGGUAGCUGGUAUAUUUAUGAAUUAUGAGUGAUGAUCAGUUAGUGCUUAUAUAAGCAUGGGUCAUAUUUUAUAUAUUUUAUAUAAGUAUAGGUCAUUCUUUCUUAAAAUAUUUAUAUAACUAUAGGUACUGAAUUUCAGUGAAUGUUAUAUUAAAUAUGGUACGUUUUUUGAGGCAAAAAUGGCACACCCCUACCA
rnacentral:lncRNA from 1 species